rnacentral:rRNA from 1 species
AUUGAACGCUGGCAGCAGGCCUAACACAUGCAAGUCGAACGCGUGGCGGACGGGAGAGUACUGUCUGGGAAACUGCCUGAUGGAGGGGGAUAACUAAUGGAAACGGUAGCUAAUACCGCAUACCAUCAGAUGUGCCCAGAUGGGAUUAGCUAGUUGGUGGGGUAACGGCUCACCAAGGCGACGAUCCCUAGCUGGUCUGAGAGGACGACCAGCCACACUGUGACUGAGACACGGUCCAGACUCCUACGGGAGGCAGCAGUGGGGAAUAUUGCACAAUGGGCGCAAGCCGGAUGCAGCCAUGCCGCGUGUAUGAAGAAGGCCUUCGGGUUGUAAAGUACUUUCAGCGGGGAGGCGUUACCCGCAGAAGAAGCACCGGCUAACUCCGUGCCAGCCGCCGCGGUAAUAC